rnacentral:rRNA from 1 species
UACGGAGGGUGCGAGCGUUAAUCGGAAUUACUGGGCGUAAAGCGCGCGUAGGCGGUGGGCUAAGUCUGCUGUGAAAGCCCUGGGCUUAACCUGGGAACGGCAGUGGAUACUGGUCGACUAGAGUGUGGUAGAGGAUGGCGGAAUUUCCGGUGUAGCAGUGAAAUGCGUAGAGAUCGGAAGGAACACCAGUGGCGAAGGCGGCCAUCUGGACCAACACUGACGCUGAGGUGCGAAAGCGUGGGGAGCAAAC